rnacentral:lncRNA from 1 species
GACCGUCGUAGUUAUAAGUGGUGAUUAAGGACCUACCUAUUCGCCAUUACUCCAACCAACUUUGACGCCCUCGGACCACGAACGACAUUGUCGGGCUGAGUUUAUCGAAGACUAGUGAGUUUAGCAGAGAAUGUCAGCAAGAAUUGAUAGAAUAAUGAGUUUACCUUUUUUUUUUUUAGAUUUUGUGUUGUUUACGUAGAGAAUGAGAUGAAUUCUAUGGCUUUAUUCUUUUUUAAGGGUUUUGUUGUUUUACGCACUGAGUGGGGAAGCGUACCUCUUUUAAUUUUAUUUCACCUUUUGUCAAAAAAAAAUUAUAGAAAUUAAAAUAUUGACAUGCAUGUAUAUGCCACUUAAAUAAUAAUAGCUAGGACAUAGACGCCAAAUCCGUUUUAAUUUGACCACAAUUGUUCGUCA